AAUACCUACGGGACGCAGCAGUGGGGGAUAUUGCACAAUGGGGGAAACCCUGAUGCAGCGACGCCGCGUGGGUGAAGAAGCGCCUCGGCGCGUAAAGCCCUGUCAGCAGGGAAGAAAAUGACGGUACCUGAAGAAGAAGCCCCGGCUAACUACGUGCCAGCAGCCGCGGUAAUACGUAGGGGGCAAGCGUUAUCCGGAUUUACUGGGUGUAAAGGGGGCGCAGACGGCGAUGCAAGCCAGGAGUGAAAGCCCGGGGCCCACCCCCGGGACUGCUCUUGGGGCUGCGUGGCUAGAGGGCAGGAGGG
rnacentral:rRNA from 1 species